ACAAAACUCUUCAGAUGAUCAUCUGUCACAAGACUACCCAACUCAACUAGUGGAGUCAACGGCUCACGAUGGAAACUGUAGGAACAGGUCUUCCGCUUCGGCUCGGGGACCGUUGCCAUCUCUAUCAGUAGUCAAGCUCGGGAAUGUACCUGAGAAAUGAUGUGCAUGCAGAGAUUAGUUUUUUUUCUUUUUUUUCUUUUUUUUUUCAAAAUUUUUUCAUUGCGUUUCUUUUGAAAAAUAAAUAUGCUAUGAUGCACAUGAUGC
rnacentral:lncRNA from 1 species